AAAACACCAAAACAUAACUGAUUACCUUCUUCAAAGAACAAAUUCAGCAUCCAAACACCUCUAUUAUUAUACACAAAAAAAAUCAUUCACUUCUCUCUCUCAUUAAUCACAAGUGUUAGGGCACAGAUCGGGUGAAUUAAGUGCAUAAACAAGUAAUUAGCUAGCCCUAAGGAAUAAGGGAAAUAAAAGAAGAAAGUAUAGAAAAGAAACCUAGAUGGAUCCAUUUUAGCGGUUAGGGAUUUGAGUGAAAAAAGGAGACCGAACAUGAGUUUAUGAUCCUGAUUGGAAUUGAGUGUACGCAGAGGUCGAUUCCACUCGCGGUAAAGCAAACAAACGCCGUUUCUGUUGAAGAUGUACAUCAUAUGCGCAUUGUUGCCGGAUGCCGUCGGUACCGGCGGUGAUGGACUGAUCUCGGAGCCUCCGAAGAACUGCAUUGCUCAAUUGUAAGUUGUGUUUUAUGGUGAGCGAUGGAGAUGGAGUCAACAGUCGCCGAUGUUGCUCUCCGAUCAGUGGCCCGAUGUUGCUCUCCGAUCAGUGUUUUAUGGUGGGUGGGUUCACAUUGAGGGUGAAAAAUGUGGGCUAAAUAGGUGACCUAAACACGAAUUGUUUAACCCGGUCCGUUUUGUAAAUGGAUCGUGUUAGUCAACUCAAAAUCUUUUUUACGUGUCGUGUUCAGAUCAUGUCAAAAAUCGUCACCCCUCUUGGUAUCAACUCAAGUGCUCACAUCCGAAAAAGCGCAAAGAAGCUCUAUGAUUGAUAUGUAACUCGACCCUGAGGUUGUGUCACAACUUUGUUCUAUAGAGAGUUCGAUUCACUCUUGGUUAAAAACGGCUAAAAAUAAACUCAUACAUUUGAUGCAUGAAAUACAUAUUUUAACUAAUUUCUUUUUUAAAUUGGUUUAUCCGGUUGUGUCGCAGCUUUUGUGAUGAAUAACCGAAUAAGAAUUCGGUUCGGUUUUGAUUAAAAACUGACUAAACCAAUUUUAACCAAAUUAACUGGUUUUAACCAAAUAAGAAUUGAUUUAUGUCUUGACGAGUCAGGUUUGUUUCAAUUCAAUAUAGCCUAAAGUAUAAAGUUAGAAGUCAGUGCACAAUAUCAUACAUAACCCGAAUUACAUUUGUGAAUGCAGUAUGUCUGUAGCUUACGUCUAGUAUCGAGUCUAUGAUUAAUGUAUGUGUUUGUGAUUGUAUUGAACUGAUUAGGGUUUGUCUUGUAAAUGUGCCUUCGUACGAAGGGACAUAGUAUUAGUCAGUUUAGUAGUUUUAGCUUAAGACAUCGGUUCGUACGAAGCCUCUAAUGUCUAUAAAUAGGGGUCUUGGGUUCAUUUGUAAUGUAACUUUUGGUGAGACAUAGCGAAGCUCUACCAAUAUUCUCUCAGGAUCUGUAACUCUUCAAUCAUUAAUGAGAAGUGAUCUUAAUGGUAUCUAUAACCAAUCCGGUUGGAGCGUUUAUUGA
rnacentral:lncRNA from 1 species